AUACGAAGGGUGCAAGCGUUAAUCGGAAUUACUGGGCGUAAAGCGCGCGUAGGUGGUUUUGUAAGUUGGAGGUGAAAGCCCCGGGCUCAACCUGGGAAUUGCCUCCAAAACUGCAUGACUAGAGUACGGUAGAGGGUAGUGGAAUUUCCUGUGUAGCGGUGAAAUGCGUAGAUAUAGGAAGGAACACCAGUGGCGAAGGCGACUACCUGGACUGAUACUGACACUGAGGUGCGAAAGCGUGGGGAGCAAACAGGAUUAGAUCCCCUGGUAGUCCACGCCGUAAACGAUGUCAACUAGCCGUUGGGAUCCUUGAGAUCUUAGUGGCGCAGCUAACGCAUUAAGUUGACCGCCUGGGGAGUACGGCCGCAAGGUUAAAACUCAAAUGAAUUGACGGGG
rnacentral:rRNA from 1 species